rnacentral:rRNA from 1 species
UACGUAGGGAGCAAGCGUUGUCCGGAAUCAUUGGGCGUAAAGGGCGCGCAGGUGGCUCUGUAUGUCUGCCGUGAAAGCAUACAGCUCAACUGUAUUGUGUCGGUAGAAACUGCAGGACUUGAGGCUGGGAGGGGCUGGUGGAAUUCCCUGUGUAGCGGUGAAAUGCGUAGAGAUGGGGGAGAACACUCGUGGCGAAGGCGGCCAGCUAGACCAGUUCUGACACUGAGGCGCGACAGCGUGGGGAGCAAACAGG